rnacentral:rRNA from 1 species
CGUCAAGUCAGCAUGGCCUUUAUGUCUGGGGCUACACACGUGCUACAAUGGCCGGUACAAACCGUCGCGAUACCGUGAGGUGGAGCUAAUCGGACAAAGCCGGUCUCAGUUCGGAUUGCAGGCUGCAACUCGCCUGCAUGAAGUUGGAAUCGCUAGUAAUCGCGGAUCAGCACGCCGCGGUGAAUACGUUCCCGGGCCUU